AUGGCAGACACUGACAACCUGCCUAGCUAAGGCAGUUAAAAGAGGAGUGAAUGCUCUCAAAAACCUGCAAGUGAAAGGUGCACAGAUAGAAGCCAAAUUCUAUGAGGAAGUUCACGAUCUUGAAAGGAAGUAUGCUGUUCUCUAUCAGCCUCUAUUUGAUAAGCAAUUCGAGAUUAUUAAUACAAUUUAUGAACCUACGGAGGAAGAAUGUGAAUGGAAACCAGAUGAAGAAGAUAAGAUUUCAGAGGAGUUGAAAGAAAAGGCCAAGACUGAAGAUAAGAAAAACGAUGAAGAGCAAGAAGACCCCAAGGGAAUUCCUGACUUUUGAUGACCUGUUUUUAAGAAUGUUGACUUGCUCAGUGAUACGCUUCAGGAACAUGAUGAACCUAUUCUGAAGCAUGUGAAAGAUACUAAAGUGAAGUUCUCAGAUGCUGGCCAGCCUAUGAGUUUUGUCCUAGAAUUUCACUUUGAACCCAGUGAAUAUUUUACAAAUGAAGUGCUGACAAAAACAUAUAGGAUAAGGUUAGAACCAGAACCAGAUGAUUCUGAUCCCUUUUCUUUUGAUGGACAAGAAAUUAUGGGUUGUACAGGGGGCCAGAUAGAUUGGAAAAAAGGAAAGAAUGUCAUUCUGAAAACCACUAAGCAGCAGCAGAAACACAAGGGACAUGGGACAAUUCGUAUUGUGACUGAAACAGUUUCCAAUGACUCUUUCUUUAAUUUUCUUGCCCCUCCUGAAGCUCCUGAGAGUGGAGAUCUGGAUGAUGCUGCUGAAGCUGUCCUUGCUGCAAACUUCAAAACUGGUCACUUUUUACGUGAGCAUGUAAUCCCAAGAUCAGUGUUACAGUUUACUGGAGAAGCUAUUGAAGAUGACGAUGAGGAGUAUGAUGAAGAAGGUGAAGAAGCAGAUGAGGAAGGGGAAGACAAAGGAGAUGAGGAAAAUGAUCCAGACUGUGGCCUGAAGAAGGAUCAAAACCCAGCAGAGUGCAAGCAGCAGUGAAGCAGGAUGUAUGUGGCCUUGAGGAUAAUCUGCACUGUACCAGCCUAAACACAACUCUUACUUACUGCCUUAUGUUUUUUUAUUUUCUUGGUAGACUAGGUAAUUUUUGUUUUAAAGGACAGGAAACUGAUAUUUUAAAGACCAAUCUGUUCUACCUAGCAUUUUCAUUAGUUUUUCUGCCAGAUAUGUUGAAUGCACAAAUUCUGUCACACAUGUUCAUUCACUGCUACAUAAUUUGGUUCUUCUGGAAUAUUUUUUAUAGCUCUUGGAGUACAGCUAUGAAAAUUAACAACUGUUAAAGGAAACACUUUUUUUUUUCAUAAUUUUUUCCUUGAAGAACCAAAGUAUUUUUUCAGCUGUUUAUUGAAUAGGUUUAAGUCUGCUUGGAUUAGCUGUGCCUUUUAUUACUUUGUUACAGAAAUGCAGGGACUUGUACUAAGACAAUUCAUCGUUUAAAAAAAAAAAAAAACUGGCAUGCCAGUUGCAGUGGCUCACGCCUGUAAUCCUAGCACUUUGGGAGG